UGGGGAAUAUUGGACAAUGGGCGAAAGCCUGACCCAGCAACGCCGCGUGAAGGAUGAAGUAUUUCGGUAUGUAAACUUCGAAAGAAUAGGAAGAAUAAAUGACGGUACUAUUUAUAAGGUCCGGCUAACUACGUGCCAGCAGCCGCGGUAAUACGUAGGGACCAAGCGUUGUUCGGAUUUACUGGGCGUAAAGGGCGCGUAGGCGGCGUGGUAAGUCAUCUGUGAAAUCUCCGAGCUUAACUCGGAACGGUCAGAUGAUACUGCUGUGCUAGAGUACAGAAGGGGCAAUCGGAAUUCUUGGUGUAGCGGUGAAAUGCGUAGAUAUCAAGAGGAACACCUGAGGUGAAGACGGGUUGCUGGGCUGAUACUGACGCUGAGGCGCGAAAGCUAGGGUAGCAAACGGGAUUAGAUACCCCCGUAGUCUCUGAGCGGGCUGGCAAGGCGCAU
rnacentral:rRNA from 1 species